rnacentral:rRNA from 1 species
UACGUAGGCAGCAAGCGUUGUUCGGAAUUACUGGGCGUAAAGAGUGUGUAGGCGGUGCCCUAAGUUCGGUGUGAAAUCUCCCGGCUUAACUGGGAGGGUGCGCCGGAAACUGGAGUGCUCGAGCGUGGGAGAGGAAAGCGGAAUUCCUGGUGUAGCGGUGAAAUGCGUAGAUAUCUGGAGGAACACCGGUGGCGAAGGCGGCAUCCUGGACCGACAUUGACGCUGAGGCGCGAAAGCCAGGGGAGCAAACGGG